rnacentral:lncRNA from 1 species
UUUGGCCUUUUGCUUAUAUAGAUAAAGGCAGAUGUGGUGUGAGUGCCAAUGAGACAACUCUCCAUCCAAAUAACAAUUUAAAAAAGUAAACCAUUAUAGGUUAAAGUACGGCCUUCAACACGGAGCCUUGGCUCACACCGAACAACAAGCUAUAAAGGGCCCCAAAAUUACUAGUAUAAAACCAUUCAAACGGGAAAACCAACGGUCUAAUCUAUAUAAACAAAACGAGAAACGAGAAACACGUAUAUAUUACAUAAACAAACGACAACUACUGUACAUCAGAUUCCUGACUUAGGACAGGUGCAAACAUUUAUAUA